rnacentral:tRNA from 1 species
GCUUCCAUCGUCUAGUGGUUAGGACAACAGGUUUUCAACCUGUGAACAGGAGUUCAAUUCUCCUUGGAAGUACCA